GGUUGUGUAGUGUAGUGGUUAUCACUUUGGAUUUUGAUUCGUAUCGAGUUUUCCAAUAACCCCGGUUCGAACCCGGGCACGACCU